UACAGAGGUCUCAAGCGUUGUUCGGAUUCAUUGGGCGUAAAGGGUGCGUAGGUGGCGCCAUAAGUCAGGUGUGAAAUCUCGGGGCUCAACCCCGAAACUGCACUUGAUACUGUGGUGCUGGAGUACUGGAGAGGGGAUUGGAAUUUACGGUGUAGCAGUGAAAUGCGUAGAUAUCGUAAGGAAGACCAGUGGCGAAGGCGAAUCUCUGGACAGUUACUGACACUGAGGCACGAAGGCCAGGGGAGCAAACGGG
rnacentral:rRNA from 1 species